rnacentral:misc_RNA from 1 species
UCUCCGUUGGUGAACCAGCGGAGGGAUCAUUACUGGAAUCGCAAGAUCCCACAACCCUCGUGAACCUACCGAACGUUGCCUCGGCGGGCGCCCCGCCUCCCGCCGGGCGUCACCCCCCCCGGUGGCCCCCUACUCUGGCUCUGCAGCGUGGCAUCCCGGGAAACAAAAACAAGUCAAAACUUUUAACAACGGAUCUCUUGGCUCUA